GAGUGAACCUGCAUCAAUUAGAUUUUUCGUGACGCUGUGCGUCUGACGUCAUGACGUCUCCGCCUUCUCCAGAACUUUCUACCUGCACUUGAACCGCCAUUUUCUCGGCUCAGACAACUGGGAAGAAGAUAGCUAGAUACUGAAUUACCACUGUCUCCAUCGUUUUUGAAGCCAGGAUACAACUCAUUUGGACUACCAAAGACCACCAUGGCUGGUUCAACACCUGCAAGACUGAAGAUGAUUUUAGG